rnacentral:rRNA from 1 species
UACGUAGGGGGCAAGCGUUGUCCGGAAUCAUUGGGCGUAAAGCGCGUGUAGGCGGCUCGGUAAGUCCGCUCUGAAAGUCCAGGGCUCAACCCUGGGAUGCGGGUGGAUACUGCCGAGCUCGAGUCCGGAAGAGGCGAGUGGAAUUCCUGGUGUAGCGGUGAAAUGCGCAGAUAUCAGGAGGAACACCAAUGGCGAAGGCAGCUCGCUGGGACGUGACUGACGCUGAGACGCGAAAGCGUGGGGAGCAGACAGG